rnacentral:rRNA from 1 species
UAUAUUCUGUAGCAAGGUUAACCGAAUAGGGGAGCCGGAGGGAAACCGAGUCUUAACCGGGCGUUAAGUUGCAGGGUAUAGACCCGAAACCCGGUGAUCUAGCCAUGGGCAGGUUGAAGGUUGGGUAACACUAACUGGAGGACCGAACCGACUAAUGUUGAAAAAUUAGCGGAUGACCUGUGGCUGGGGGUGAAAGGCCAAUCAAACCGGGAGAUAGCUGGUUCUCCCCGAAAGCUAUUUAGGUAGCGCCUCGUGAAUUCAUCUCCGGGGGUAGAGCACUGUUUCGGCUAGGGGGCCAUCCCGGCUUACCAACCCGAUGCAAACUGCGAAUACCGGAGAAUGUUAUCACGGGAGACACACGGCGGGUGCUAACGUCCGUCGUGAAGAGGGAAACAACCCAGACCGC